rnacentral:rRNA from 1 species
CCCGGGCCUUGUACACACCGCCCGUCACACCACGAGAGUUUGUAACACCCGAAGUCGGUGGGGUAACCGCAAGGAGCCAGCCGCCUAAGGUGGGACAGAUGAUUGGGGUG